AACUUGUUGGCGACUUUUUUGCUCUAACUUCUUUCCCUUUGAACGCCACCUUGCUUAAAUGCAUAAUCACAGUGAGACUCAAAGUUGAUGUUUAAAACAUUCCCUACACCUACUACUACCACAAAAAUCGUCGCAUAAGCUCUAUUUCUUCUCUUUCAUUCUCCCCUGUUUCAUUCACUCGCUUUUACACCGACCAACUGCCAAAAACCACCGUCGUCCAUACCCAGCCGCCUUCUGCCAUAGUCCUUCACGUGACUAUCCACAGCCGCACGACAACCUUAUAACUACGGAGGCUACUAGGUGAAUGUUUUGGAGGUUACUUACCUUGAGAUUUACGCACGAUCAAGAGUUGCUUGAAGAUCAAGUCUAUAUUUGAGGGAUUAAAGCUAAAAAAAUUAAAAGCAAAGGGAAGAAAGAGGAGUGUGAUACGGUACAGGAAAAAGGAAAAGCCAUGCACCUACAAAAGUAUGGAGUUGGAGUCUUGGAGCAGUCUUUGAAGCAAAAGAAGAUCUUGGUGGACUUAUCUAUUUAUCAAAAUUCAUAAUUCUACUAUAAAGAAAAGAGGUCAUUGAUGAUAUAUAGUAUAUAAGGUUUCAUCAACCCAUUUCGUUGAUAUCACUCAUUGUCAAAUGUAGUUAAACCAUGUAGGUUUUACUUGUAUAGAUUAGCUCUGCGAUCCUAUGUAUAAUGUAUAAUUAAGGUUUCAUCAGACAUGGAAUGUAUAGUAAUUAUUAAUUUGAAAUUUAUUAUUUGUAUGAUUUUUGUUUAAUUUCAUUUAUAUGAAUUUUUGUAAUUUUAUUGA